rnacentral:tRNA from 1 species
GGGUAUGUAGCUCAGUGGUAGAGUGCAUGCUUUGCAUGUAUGAGGUCCUGGGUUCAAUUCUCUACAUCUCUA